rnacentral:lncRNA from 1 species
UCUUAUAAGCUUCAAGUUUUUCUACCUAGUUUCCCAAAAAUAUCCACCCUUCAAUAAACCUAAGCAACGCUAUAACCCGAAAAGUCCUCGAAAGGUGCAUAUUCAUUGUAUGUCGAUCGAUUUUUAGAGUCCUUGCAAGCAUAUGGUAGAAAGGUGUAGAUUGUGUUGAUUGAGUGUAUGUCCCUAAACACUUGAGAGAAUUUUGGUGAGAUUGUGUGGAGAAUUGAGCUUGAUGGAUGAAUGUUGGAUGAAUUGUUUUGAAUUUCCGAUUGGUUGUUAGUAGAUGAAAGUGACCUUGAGUAUGAUAAUUUAUGUAAAAUGACGUGUUUUGUUCUUAUUGAUUACGGAGAUAGAUUAACAUGAAUGUUUGGUUGGGUGUUUGAGUUGCACUCUUUUGAAAGCAUUGUUCCUUGAGGACAAGCAACAGAUUAAGUUUGGGGUUGUGAUGAGUCUUCACCCGUCGCUAUUUUUAGAGUAUUUUUAAUUAAGUUUUUAAUAUCAUUUUAUUAGUUUAAUGUUUAAUUUAGAGUCAUUUUAAAUAAAUUACAAUUUUUGGUUUAUUGAAUCAAUUAUGUCUUUUUCUCUAUUAAUAUAUAUUUUGUGUAGCUUUUAUUUUGUGAAUUUACUUACUCAUUGUUUAGUGUGUCAUAUGAUGAGCAAAGAGGGAGUUAACUAUUGUAAUAUGAUGGGCUUGUCUAAAAAGAAAAGAAACGUGGACUUUAUGCUUGUGUGGCCCAACAUGAAACAAGGAGGUUUCUUUGAUUAUUAUAAGUAAGAGGAGCUGGAGACAGAAGGAGAGUUACGCAGAGAGAGAGAGAAAGGCUGGGGAUAAUCACGUACAACAAGAAGAAAAAGGGAAUCACGCACACCCUAGAGCAAAAGGAACAUCACGCACACCCUGGAGAACGAAAGGAGCUGGCCGUAUCAACAAGCAGCAACAUAGUUUAUGGUCUUGUUCUUCUCCUUAUUAUGUUGCUUAUUAAUUUAAUUAUGAGAAGCUGAAUUCUAUUGAUUGGUUCUUAGAGGAUUUUGAUUAUUAUUUCUCUUGAACAAUGUGAUUAUCAUUUGAUAUGAUAAAUGAAUUACGAAGUUAGUUUCUUCAAUUAUUCCUUGUGCUUAAUGCUUUACAUGACUUGAUCAAUUGUGUGAUGAUUUCAAUUAUUUGUUUUACUAUGAUGAUAGGAAUGAAUGAUCGAUCUAGGAAUGAUUGAUCAAUUAACUUUCACUUAAGACAUUUCGGAUU